rnacentral:tRNA from 1 species
UGUUCUGUGGCUUGGUUGGUUAAAGCGCCGGUCUAGCGAAUACGGAGUCGUGGGUUCGGAUCCCACCAGAACGC